GGAAGUAAAAGUCGUAACAAAGUUUCCGUAGGUGAACCUGCGGAAGGAUCAUUAUUGUAUAACCGAGGUGCGAGGGCUGUCGCUGACCCGAAAGGUCGUGCACGCCCGAGUGCCCUCGCACACAUCCAUCUCACCCCUAUGUGCACCACCGCGUGGGUCCCCCUUUGGCUUGUUCGGAGGGGGGCUUACGUUUUCACACAAACUUUGUAUGCAGUGUAGAAUGUAUUUUUUGUUUUUGCGAUCACGCAAUCAAUACAACUUUCAACAACGGAUCUCUUGGCUCUC
rnacentral:misc_RNA from 1 species